rnacentral:tRNA from 1 species
UCCCUGGUGGUCCAGUGGUUAGGACUUGGCACUUUCACUGCUCCGGCCCAGGUUCCAGCCCUGGUCAGGAAA